rnacentral:rRNA from 1 species
GACGAACGCUGGCGGCGUGCUUAACACAUGCAAGUAGAACGGUAAGGCCCUGCUUUUGUGGGGCUCUCGAGUGGCGCACAGGUGUGUAACACGUGUGUAACCCGUCCUUUAUUUUGGGAUAAAUUCAGGAAACUGGGGAUAUUAUCGGAUAUGAGCUCCUGUUGCAUGUUGGGUUUUGGAAAGUUUCGGCGGUUGGGGAUGGACUCGUGGCUCAUCAGCUUGUUGGUGGGGUAGUGGCUUACCAAGGCUUUGACGGGUAGCCGGCCUGAGAGGGUGACCGGGCACAUUGGGACUGAGAUACGGCCCAGACGCCAACGGGAGGCAGCAGGGGGGAAUAGUGCAAAAUGGGCGGAGGCCGGAUGCAGCGACUUCGCGUGCGAGAGGACGGCCGUCGGUUUGGAAACCGCUUGCGCCUGUGACGAAGCGUGUGUGACGGUAAUGGGUAAAAAAGCAACGGCUAACUACGUG